rnacentral:rRNA from 1 species
GACGAACGCUGGCGGCGUGCUUAACACAUGCGAGUCGAACGGAAAGGCCCUGCUUUUGUGGGGUGCUCGAGUGGCGAACGGGUGAGUAACACGUGAGUAACCUGCCCUUGACUUUGGGAUAACUUCAGGAAACUGGGGCUAAUAUCGGAUAGGAGCUCCUGCUGCAUGGUGGGGGUUGGAAAGUUUCGGCGGUUGGGGCUGGACUCGCGGCUUAUCAGCUUGUUGGUGGGGUAGUGGCUUACCAAGGCUUUGACGGGUAGCCGGCCUGAGAGGGUGACCGGCCACAUUGGGACUGAGAUACGGCCCAGACUCCUACGGGAGGCAGCAGUGGGGAAUAUUGCACAAUGGGCGGAAGCCUGAUGCAGCAACGCCGCGUGCGGGAUGACGGCCUUCGGGUUGUAAACCGCUUUCGCCUGUGACGAAGCGUGAGUGACGGUAAUGGGUAAAGAAGCACCGGCUAACUACGUG